CGAGGCUUGAGUGAGGGUCUCCCUUCGGGGGUCUUUCAAGGGCUCGCCCUCGAACCCCAGCACGUCCGGAAGGCAGAUGCAACGCAGCAGCCCACAGCCACUGACAGGCCAUGAUCCCACAUAGCCCUCCUUGCUGAGGCCUCCGCUUCCUGGCGGCGCGGUAGCGGCGGGCGACCCGAUUGGUGGUCAGGCCUGCGCCCGGCACUGCCGGGCGGUCCUCCGCGCCAUCCCCAGCCGGGCCCUCCCCUUUCCGCGGGAGGCGUCCGGGACAGCGGGUUGGUGGCGUGCAGUUCCCCUUGACUGUGCGCGCCCUCGUCUGGGCUCCUUUGCAGAGUACUCGGUAGCUGCAGCUCCCGGAGCACAGCAGACAGAGCUGCGGGCUGCGUGCGCCCCUGCUGCCACCGGACCUGCCGCGGUGGCUCCCGCGCCCCGCGGCGACUUCCGCACCCGCGCUUAUCUUUGUUUAAGUCCCCGAGCGGCGGCGGGGUCGGAGCCCGCGCCUUGGGCGACUGAGGCGGCCGCAGUUCGCGCCCCGGCGCCCUGGCGAUGCCGGACCAGAUCUCCGUGUCGGAAUUCGUGGCCGAGACCCUUGAGGACUACAAGGCGCCCACGGCCUCUAGCUUCACCAUGCGCACGGCCCAGUGCCGGGACACCGUGGCGGCCAUCGAGGAGGAUGCAGUGACUUAUGAUGAUGUACAUGUGAACUUCACUGGGGAAGAGUGGAAGUUGCUGGAUCCUUCCCAGAAGAGUCUCUACAAAGAUGUGAUGCUGGAGACCUACUGGAACCUCACUGUUAUAGGCUACACUUGGGAAACCCAUCAUAUUGAAGGACAUUGUCAAAGUUCGAGAAGAAAUGAAAGGUUUAGUCUCCACUGCCAGCUGCCAUGGGCAAGCAGAACAGCAAGCUGGGUCCUGAGGUAUUGCAGGCCCUGCGGAAACACAGGGAGUUCACCAAUCAUGAGCUUCAGGAGUGGUACAAGGGCUUCCUCAAUGACUGUCCUACUGGCUACCUGACCAUGGACAAUUUCAAGAUCUAGGCCAACUUCUUCCCCUACAGAGAUACCUCCAAGUUCGCUGAACAUGUCUUCCACAUGUUUGACACCAACAGCGACAGCACCAUCGACUUCCAAGUGUUCAUCAUUGCUCUUAGCAUGACCUCUCGGGGCAAGCUGGAACAGAAGGUCAAGUGGGCCUUCAGCAUGUCUGACCUAGACAGCAAUGGCUACAUCAGCUGCAGUGAAAUGCUGGAGUUAGUGCAGAUACCUGCACUUGACAGGGCCUGGCGCAUGGGGAGUGCAGGGAUCCAGGACCCCCAUCCCCAACCCCAUACACCAGGUCAUUCCUCUGCCCACUUGCUACCUGGUGUACUAAAGGACUGCAUGUCUUUGCAGAGAGUAACGAUAAAAGCCAAGCAUCUAUUGAUUGCUUGCUGGACAUCAGGCCCCAGCUGAGCUCAUCCAUAAGGUUUAUUCACACAAUUCUAUAAAAUGCGUCUUUUUUUUAAGCUCUAAUGAGAUCUGAGGCUCAGAUAGGUGAUUAAGAAUUGUCAAAGCAAGAACUGGUAAAAUGGCUCAGUGUUGAAGAACGCUUGAUGCCCAGCAUGAGGACAUGAGUUCUGAUCCCAACACCCACGGAAAAGUCAGGAGUGGCUGAGCAUGCCCGAAACCCUAGAACUAGGGGACAAGUGAGUCCCAGAAGCUUGCUGAGCAGGCACCCUAGCUAAAAUGGUAAGCCCCGGCCGGGUUCAGUGAGAGAGAAAAGGGAAUAUUGUGAACACCGGUAUUCCUGUUUGGCCUCUGCACAGAUGAGUGUUCAUCUGCACACACAUGUAUAACAUACACACACAUUAGCUGUCUAUAGGGCUUCCUAUAGAAAUCAGAACGACACAGUAAAGGAUGAGUCAGCAGUCAGUUCUUCACAGGAGCGAUGCUUAUGUGCACACUGUAUCCUUCCUGCUCCAUGCUCUAAACCAUCUCUGUAUUUGGUCCAGUGGGCUGACUCUGUGGGUAAAGGUACUUGCUUCCAAGCCUGGCAGCCUGGGUUCUAUCCCUAAGACCCACAUGGUAGGAAAAGAGAACCAGCUUCCACAAGUUGUCCACUGAAUUCCACAUGAGAUCAUCUCCCCCAAAUUAAUAAUUACAUACAUUCAUAAAAUAAGUAAAGUAGUUAUAUACAGUGCCUAAUACAAUGUCUAUAGAUGUUAAUAAUAAUUUGUAUUAUUUGGGAAAUAAGAAGAAACUGUCUGUGUACCACCAGUUUCAUUUUCUAGACUAUUUCCCACCUGUAGUUUGUUGGAUCUGAAGAUUCAGGACCCAUGGGUGGGCAGGGCUCAAUGUAUUUCCACUUUGACCUUCCCUCCAGGAUUUCCCAGCUCCCCACCAAAUAUUGUCCAUUCAGACAGAUGCUUUGCCACACAACCUCCCCUCUACUCCCAACCAAGGAGCCCUCCAUUCUUCCAUACCCCAGCUAUAUCCUGUGCUCUUGAACGUCACUUAAACUUUCCUGGCUCCCUUUGCCCAGCACCUUGUCUGUGAGACUUGUUCUGAUGAGAGAAGGGUCCUGACUCUGCCCUGUAUAUGCUCCUUGGUUAGCUGAGUGAGGACCAUAACCCACCCUCCGUCCUCCAGAGCACACUCACAGAUGUGCCUUUGCAGGCCAUCUACAAGAUGGUGUCCUCCAUGAUGAAGAUGCCUAAGGACGAGUCCACGCCCUAGAAGCGAACAGACAAGAUCUUCAGGAAGAUGAACACAAACAAUGAAGGCCAGGAAAGGGCACUGGGUCGCCCUAGAACUGGAGUUACCAAUGAUUGGGAACCGCCCUAUGGAUGCUGGGGACUUUAUCCAGGACCCUCUGCAAAAGCAGCAACUGCUCUUAACAGCUGAGCCAUCUCACCAGCCAUAAAGGACACUCUUUUUUUGCUUGUUGGUUUGUUUUUUAGAAACAAGGUUUCUCUGUGUAGCCCUGGCUGUCCUGGAACUUGCUGUUUAGACCAUGUUGGCUUCAAACUCAGAGAUCCACAAGUCUGCCUCCUGAGUACUGGGAUUAAAGAUGUGUACCACCACUGCUCAGCUCAGAAGAAUCUUACUGAAGAAUUAUCUAGAUCAGUGGUUCUCAACCUAUGGGUUCCAACCCCUUUCGGGGAUCAAAUGAGCUUUUCCCAGAGGUGGCAUAAGACCAACAGAAAACACAGAUAUUCAUAUUCAGAUUCAUAACAAUAGUGUAAUUACGGUUAUGAAGUAGCAGUGAAAAUAAUCUUAUGGUUGAGGGUCACUACAACACUAGGAACUGUAUUAAAGGGUCAGAGCAUUAGGAAGGCUGAGAACCAUCCAUCUAGAUCAUGGCAGCCUAUGAGCAUGCCUGUUGGGGGUUGUGUUCAUGGUUAAUUGAUGUGGGAAACCCCAUUACUAUUCUCUAGACAGGGGUCCUGAACAGUGUAAUAAAGGGAAAAGAAGUGUAUCAGAAAAAAAGUGUAGAGUCUCAUUAUGAGCCAGGUGUUCAUACCUCUAUUCUCUCUGCCCUGUGAGGUUUUAAAGCCUUGACUUCCUGAAGUGAUGAAUUGUAACCUAGAAGUAAACCAAAGAAAACUUCCUCCCUUAAGUUGCUUUUAAUCAGGGGAUUUUUAUCACAGUAACAGAAAUGUAAUUUGACCUGCAGCCAUAAUUUGUCCUGUCUCCCCAGUUGCCCCAGAUUGUGGUGGCUCUCGAGGCCUCUAGAUGGGGCUAUCAGCUUACAUCAGGCCACAGAGUUCAUUACCAAACCUAACCUCAGCACUAAUGCUUAAUCCCCACGAUCUAUACAUUGAAAGGAGACCCAGCUCUUACAAGUUGUCCUCUGACCACUUGUGUGCCUCAAAAUGGCAUAUGUCCCCAUAUGUGUGUGUGUGUGAGAGAGAGAGAGAGACAGAGACAGAGACAGGGGCACAGAGAGAGGGAGGGGGUUAGAGACUGGACAUUGUCCAUUUUCCAGAGGGUUCCAGACUUUAACCAGAGCACUGGCUAAUCCUAAGUCUCCCUCUUCCAUUCCUCAGGCAAAAUGUCCCUGGAAGAAUUCAACAAAGGUGCCAAGAGGGACCAUCCAUUGUCAGGUUGCUGCAGUGUGACCCCAGCACUGCUAGCCAGUUCUGAGGGGAAUGGGCUUUAAAACAGUUGUGAGAAACACAGGCUUGAUCUGCCAUCUUCAACUUUGCUUGCAAAAGUGGACUUCUCCGUGAUUUCUCCUGCUCUCUCAGGACCUGGGCCCAGGCAGCACAUCACACUCACCUGGUCUGGCUGGAUGCAGCUCCCUCCUCUAUCUGACCCAAUAGAUGUCCCUCCCCAUCCAGUCCAGGCUGGUUCCUUCCAAGGUUUCAAGUGUUCUCGGCUGUAGGGCUCCUUCUCUGCUCACAGAGGGUCUGGAGGCCCUUAAGGACACCUGACAGGACUUUUCAGUAUCUUACCGAGACCAGCUGAUUUAUUCUAUGAUCCCAGCUGACUUUGUGAGGAUGAAGAAGAUGGAGAACAGACAGGCAAGCCCUUCCUCUGCAUGGCUCCACCUAGCCUUUUUCAUUUUCUCUGACCAAAGCUGCUUGCAUGUAUAUACUGCGGUAUCCUUACUUUUAAUAUAUAAGUUUUGUAUAAAGUGAGAAGGUUCAGCCCCUGUAUUUAAAGCCUCUGACUGCCUUUAAGGCAUGGUCCCCUGUGGCCUGUGAUUCUCCCCACCCCCCAAGUCUGACUGUGCUGUGGUAUUUAUGUAUUCAUUUGCCUAAUUACACAGGAGAUACAUGCAUGCCCAAGGCUGUGGACAUCUGCCCUCCGUCCUGCAAACACAGGUGUUCCUGUGUGCUCCAUCCUUCCUCUCCGUUGACCUGGCAUAUUAAAAUGAUCAAAUAAACCAA